GAUAUAUCUAUGUAACUGAGGAUCAUCAAUAUACGAUUAAAAUUCCCUGUUUAUCUUUCUAAACCCUGUUGUCUAAAUGAAUUGAAUAUAUUAUAACUUUAUAACCAUUGACAUACUAUAGCUUUUAUUAAUAAUUUUUGGAAAAUUGUUAACCAGAAAUCCAAAAUUUAACACAAUUGUAGAGCACAGAGACACACUAACAACAUUCAAAUAAUUUAAAAUAUAAAUAUAUAAAUUUUGGUACUCUAAAACAAUUAAAACAAAAGCUUGUUAAAAGCUAAAACUUAAUAAAAAUGACAUUUAUUUCAGAAACCCUACAACUGAAAAAUGUUCACCGAGUAUCUUAUUAAACAUUUUUCAGAACGGAGGUAGUUCAAGC
rnacentral:lncRNA from 1 species